rnacentral:rRNA from 1 species
GACGUAGGGUGCGAGCGUUGUCCGGAUUUAUUGGGCGUAAAGAGUUCGUAGGCGGCUCGUCGCGUCAGCUGUGAAAACCCGCGGCUUAACCGUGGGCUUGCAGCUGAUACGGGCGGGCUAGAGUUCGGUAGGGGAGACUGGAAUUCCUGGUGUAGCGGUGAAAUGCGCAGAUAUCAGGAGGAACACCGGUGGCGAAGGCGGGUCUCUGGGCCGAUACUGACGCUGAGGAGCGAAAGCGUGGGGAGCGAACAGG